GCGGCCGCUCCUGCGACAGCCUCAACAACCGAUGUGAGGGCUCCUCGGUCCAGACACGGACCUGCCACAUUCAGGAGUGUGACAAGAGAUUUAAACAGGAUGGUGGCUGGAGCCACUGGUCCCCGUGGUCAUCUUGUUCUGUGACAUGUGGUGAUGGUGUGAUCACAAGGAUCCGGCUCUGCAACUCUCCCAGCCCCCAGAUGAACGGGAAACCCUGUGAAGGCGAAGCGCGGGAGACCAAAGCCUGCAAGAAAGACGCCUGCCCCAUCAAUGGAGGCUGGGGUCCUUGGUCACCAUGGGACAUCUGUUCUGUCACCUGUGGAGGAGGGGUACAGAAACGUAGUCGUCUCUGCAACAACCCCACACCCCAGUUUGGAGGCAAGGACUGCGUUGGUGAUGUAACAGAAAACCAGAUCUGCAACAAGCAGGACUGUCCGAUUGGUGAGCCAUGCAGCCCAGGAUGAAACGACCCAGGAGCUUUGCUCUUUUACUGAAUGCUGCAGUCAGCAUUCGAGGAGAUUCCAGCU
rnacentral:sRNA from 1 species